UGGGCCACGCAGGGCCUGGGGGAAGGCGUCUCUUUGGUCCUCAGGGAAGAGGACCCCAGGGCCUCUCAGCAGGCCCCCUCCCUCCCCAUUUCUGGUCUCAAAAUCCACUCCCAGCCUCACCUCUUCACAUGGAAGCCGAAGACUCCAGGCCGUGCCUCUCCUUUCCUGUAGGGUCUCAAGCACACCCUGUCACCUCGGUGGCCCUCUGUUUUCCUAUCUGUGCAAAGGGAGGUAAGGGAAACUUCUGUUGACUGAGUCUGCUCUGUGCUGAGCCCUGGUGAAGCACUUUACACACAGUAACUUCUUCAGCUGUACAAGGACCAGGAGGGGCUGAGUUUGACAGUCUCCACACAGAGUGCAGAGGGAAGAGACCAGAUUUCAGAGGUAAUCAGACCUGGUUUGAAUCCCAGUCCUGCUGCUUCUUAGGUAUGUCAACUUGGGCAAGUGAUCUGAGCUUUCUGAGUCUGGUCCCCCAUCUGUAAAAUGGGAAUACUUCAAGUACCACCUCGCAAGGACCUAUGAGGACCCGGGGGGAAAAAAGUAGGAAAUGCCCAGCCCAGCGCCCGGCACAGACCACAGUAGGUGCUCAAUAAAUCAUGGUUCUUCUGCCUCCUCUUCCUGUGCCCAGCACAUUGCCCCAGUGAGCUAUGGUGAGAGCCCCGGGAGUGCUGGCUGCGGGCCCCAGGACUUAAGAUCUCAGGACACAGGAGGCAGCUGGACCUUUCUAAGGGCCUGGGGAAGGUGUGUGGCCAGUGGUGGGCUUGAGCCAAGCCUCCAGGUUUGGUAAGAGUUGGAGGGAAGGAGGAAGUGCAUGGUGGGGAUAUGACUGAGGUGCAGGUGGAGGCGUGGAAUCAGGGCUCUGGGAAGAGAUCUAGAGGUGAGUGGUCAGAAGGAAGGCCUUAGGGAACAGGCUCAGGGGCCUGGCUUUGAAUCUAAAGGCAGCUAGGAGCCAGAACAGGAUACAGCGUGGGGGGCCAUUGUGAAAACCGCCCAGACACCUCCUGCCAGAGCCAAAGUCAGUGGUCUACCCACUGCCUAAACGGCGGGAGGAGGUUAGGCGCCAAGACCUGCGUAAAGAGGAGAGCUGGCACUGCCCCAUCCAUCCAGAACACUCCUUCACUCUCUACGCCAGAAUGUUGGCAAGAUCAGGUUUUGUCCUGGGCUGUGGACAAAGUUCCUCCCUAGAUGGGCCACAGGGAGUCUGAGGCAAUCAUCUAGGAGAGAAGAGAGUGAAGGAUCUUAGGGAAAAGACCAGGAGCCACCUGGCUUUCGUCUUUAUGGGACAGAAGGAGCCCCUUGAUCCCAGGGAGCUCUCAGAGCCAUAAAUAGCACCCUCAGCUCGAUUUUUGCACCUGACUCUUCCCCCGCCAAGGAAGGCAGCAGCACUUGCUCCAAACUCAGUCUAGUCCUGGAGGGGGCGGGGGGGGGGAGAGGGAAGAGGAGUGGAGUGGAGGGUCCAGGGCCAUGAAUGGUGAGGACCCUUCCUUGUCAUCAGGGUGUGGCUCCACCACCCUCUUUAAAUGCUCGUGCACACACGCACAUUUUAUAAAAGCUCUGACUCAGCCCAGCUGCUGCCUGAAGACUGGGAAAGCCAGGUCCUGUCAUGGGCCCACCCAACCCUGAUCCCCUACAAGCAAUUUUCAAAUCUUCCACUUUUAAAAUGGAAAACGGUAAAUGUGCCAGGUUGCAUAUUUUAUUUCAAUAAAAAAAAAAUUCUAGCAGAAGCUGCCUUCUUCUAGGGGCAGGGAUUGGGAGGGGGAGUGACAGUAGUGGGGAAUGCUGGAGGCUCAGGAGCCAGGUGGUGGAGAGCAGUGGGGACAUGGUCCCUAGAGCACCUGGGCGCUUGUGUGCACAGGCAUGUGCUCCCAGAGCAGGGAGUGAAGGUGCAAGGGAGUGCGAGUUUGGGCUAGAGAUAAAAGUGUUCACUGGUUAUGGGCUGGUGAGAGUCAUUAAGGAGGAGGAUGAGAGAGGAGGGUGUGUGUGCUAGUGGAGGUGCAAGACUCUGACUUGGGUCCUUCCCACCCCAGCUGUGGGGGCCACAGAGUCCCUGGGACUCGUUGGUCUCCCUGGAGGAUGAGGGUAUUCAGUGUGCACGUGCACGCUAGGUGGAUACUGAAGAGGCAGAUGCAAUCUUAGUCUGAUCAGAUGGGCCCUCAGAAGAUGGAGGGUGGCCAGAGGACAAAAGGUGACCAGGCUCAGGGGAGGGUGUCAUGGCCAGAAGGUUGCUUUUCAGAGUGACCAAGGAGGGGGCACAACCACCAGGUUCCUGCAGGGUUUGGAGGUGUGGCACCCACUCGCCAUCGUGGUGUCUGGGUGGGGGGGGCAGCAGGGGAGACACACCUGACCCACAGACCCUCUGUGAAGCCCUCAGCCACCUCUGUCACCUCUGUCCACAGAGGGUCCCCAAGUGCCCUGGGAGCUGAACCUUGCAGGCACAUAGGCGAGAGGCAGUGCCCUGAGACUGGAAAAGCGAAGUCCCUGGGGCUCCCAGCGUGUGCGAGGAGUGCCGUGUUGCCUGCCAGCAGGAAGAGGGGAAAGUCCUCAGAAAAGGGCAGGGAACCCGGUCCUCAUCACUGAUUGCCUAGUCCAUGCUGUUUCCAUAGUAACCAGCCCGGGGAGUCCCGUUGCUAAGGAGGAAGCUCAGCAGGGCCUGCGUCCCCAUGACAACUGCCCCCUGCGGCCCAGUCAGUCGCAUGUCCUCAGGGACCACGGGGAGGGCAGGGCAGGAUUCAGGCCUGGCCUCUGGGGUUGUGGGGAGGCCUUUAUGGACAGAUAGCAGCCCAGGGGUGGGAGGGAUUAGCUGCAGGCUGAGGCAAACCACCAGUAGUGGAUCUGGGCAGAGGAUAGAUACCCUCACCUUUCCCACUCCAAAUUCACCCCAGGCCCUCAGAGGGCCUUUGCUCCUCCACUAGGAGCUGGAGCAACCCUGGUCACAAUCUUCUAUGCUUUCUGACUUCAAAAGGACACUUAGUAAGCACCUACUGAGUGCUAAGCACUUGGGGCUUUCCUGUUAUCUCAUUCCAUCCUCACAACAACUCUUAAGGGGCUAAGAAUUAGCCUCAGUUACAGUGAGCCAAAGGGCGCUGAGGCUCAAACCUGCCCAGACCAGUCAGCUAGAACGUGAAGGAGCCCAGGUGCACACUAGGGCCUGGAGACUCCAAUCCCACCCCUCCCAUUGGGGGUACAUACCAAGGGCUGGUGGUAGGAGCAGUCUGUCUGUGCAGGCCACAAAAGGUGCAUUGUCUGUAGAAAAUUAAAAAACAAGACUAAAAAUGACUAAAUGUGGUUUGCUUUCUCUUAUUCUUUCACCAUCACCAGCUAUUAGUGAUUCUGAACAGUAAGUGAUAAAAUAUUGCCCCCCUCCAUGACAGACAGCCGCCCCCUCAUCCAAAUGCCACCAAGCCCCCUGUUUCAAAGCCAGUGGACAUCUGCCACACUUAAAGCUACCAGCACCCAGGGAAGGCCUGAAGGCAUCCUCUCUGCCUAAUGGGGCUAAACCAGAUGGGGAUUUUUAAAAGAGCAUUUUGCAAGUUUAAUAAAAUCUCUCCCUUGAUUCCAUGUUUCUUCCCAGCUGCUGCUCCUCCUCAUCCUCCCAGCCAGACUUCUUCAGAGUUGUCUGGUCGCCCUUUCUUUGAGUCACAUCUUCCUCCACUGCAAUCUGGCUCCCGCCUCUUCUGCAUGGAAUGGCUGGAGACAAGGUCCCCGUUGUGAAAGCCAGGACAGCCUCCCGGGCCUUGUGCUGCUGCCCUCCCAGCAGUGUGUGGCCCAGCAGCCAGCUCUGCCCGCUUCCAAGACCCACUUUCUUCUUACUGCUCUGCCUUUCUGUUCAACUUCAGUCUCAGAAGAAAGGGCUAUUCUUUUUCGGGAGGCUCAGGGAUUCGGGGUCCCGACUGUUCCUGAUCUUCUCACGCCACGUGUGCUUCAGCCUGGGUGCCUGUGGCUGCUGCCCCUGUGUGGUUCCUCCCUGUUUUCUGCUCCUCUUCUUCUUUCUUGAGUUUGCAGCUUCCAAUGCACUACAGACCUAGUCCUCUCCAACCCUCCUCCCUCACCUUGCUGCUUUUGCAUCUUUAAUUUUCUCUUGAGCAUGGAGUAUUUCCUACAUACAGAAGAAGAUAUAAAUAAAUAUAAUCAGAGUUCCCUGGUGGCUCAGUGGGUGUUACUGUGGCUUGGGUUGUUGCUGUGGCACACAGGUGAUCCCUG
ensembl:lncRNA